GACGAACGCUGGCGGCGUGCUUAACACAUGCAAGUCGAGCGGUAAGGCCCUUUCGGGGGUACACGAGCGGCGAACGGGUGAGUAACACGUGGGUGACCUGCCUCUAGCUCUGGGAUAAGCCUGGGAAGCUGGGUCUAAUACCGGAUAUGACCUCGCGGUGCAUGUUGCGGGGUGGAAAGCCUUGUGCGGCUAGGGAUGGGCCCGCGGCCUAUCAGCUUGUUGGUGGGGUGAGGCCUACCAAGGCGACGACGGGUAGCCGGCCUGAGAGGGCGACCGGCCACACUGGGACUGAGACACGGCCCAGACUCCUACGGGAGGCAGCAGUGGGGAAUCUUGCGCAAUGGGCGAAAGCCUGACGCAGCGACGCCGCGUGAGGGAUGACGGCCUCGG
rnacentral:rRNA from 1 species